CCUACGGGCGGCAGCAGUGGGGAAUAUUGGACAAUGGGGGGAACCCUGAUCCAGCGACGCCGCGUGAGUGAAGAAGUAUUUCGGUAUGUAAAGCUCUAUCAGCAGGGAAGAAAAUGACGGUACCUGACUAAGAAGCCCCGGCUAACUACGUGCCAGCAGCCGCGGUAAUACGUAGGGGGCAAGCGUGAUCCGGAUUUACUGGGUGUAAAGGGAGCGUAGACGGUGCAGCAAGUCUGAAGUGAAAGCCCGGGGCUUAACCCCGGAACGGCUUUGGAAACUGAGCAGCUAGAGUGCUGGAGAGGUAAGCGGAAUUCCUAGUGUAGCGGUGAAAUGCGUAGAUAUUAGGAGGAACACCAGUGGCGAAGGCGGCUUACUGGACAGUAACUGACGUUGAGGCUCGAAAGCGUGGGGAGCAAACAGGAUUAGAUACCCGAGUAGUC
rnacentral:rRNA from 1 species